rnacentral:lncRNA from 1 species
ACACUAGAAACCCAACAGGCUGGCGGAGACACAGUACUUCUCUAGAGCAGGCUGCCUUCCUAGGGAAGAACAACUUUGCAUGCCGCCCCCCCCCCUUAAACUGUAACUCUCGGUGCCCUCAGACUCGCAUACCAUUCGCGGCAACAGUGAUAGCUAGAGAUUUAAAUAAAUAAUUCAGUACUUAAAUCAGAGGCUAAACAUCGCGAUUAAUCGGAAGAUAUUGUGCUGCUAAAAUAAUCUAGCGCAAACCAACCCGGGUCUGGGCUUCUACCGCACUUUUCUUCUCGCUCCCUGCAGUUUUCCCUGCCUCUCCGAGCCCCGGUGAUGGUAAGAGGCAGUGACAAGGGGACAAACAGAGGCAAACUGGCUUUUUUCCAUGAAGUAUUACAAUAGCCUGGGUUUGCAUUCGGAAGUACAGACAUGCAUGCAACAAAACUUCCAGAUGGCAGAAAAUAGUGACAAAACUUUCUUCAGGAAAAGGGGUGUUACCCAGAAUAGGUGCCCAUAUUCCUGACUUGAGAGAAGUGAAAGCACUAGUGAUUAAUUUACCGUCUGAUGGAGCUAUUUUGUAUUGUUUUACAGAGUAAAUAAUCGCUUAAUAAUCAUUUGCUUAUUAUGACGCAUCCACAAACUAGCUUUAAGACAAUUUUUGUCUACUUAUUCCUCACUAUAUUUUAAGGUUGUAAAUAGCAAGAUGCAAUUUAACAGUCAAAUUUACUAUUCCCAUCAUCUUCCCACCCCAUUUUCUAAUGGGAAUAUACUACUUAAAAAAAAAAAAAAAACCCUAUAGCGAUCCUAAAAGGCAAAACCCAAGCGCGGAGUUACUGGAAGAAGAAACCGGGGUUAAAAAGAUUCCUCCUCUCUUCUUCAUCAUCAUCAACCAUCAUUCAUUCACUACCUUGACAUUCCCUGGCUUUGAUUGACAGCUGGAGUGGCAAAAAGCCAUGAGACACGACAGUUUGGUUACAUGUGGGUUGCUGACGGGCCGAUCGUAACCUUCAGUUUGGGGGCUUGACAAUUUUUUUUUUUUUUUUGCGUAGAGAAAGAAAAAAGGAAAAAGAGAGAGAGAAACAGAAAAAGGAAAGAGAGAAAGAGAGAGAAAAAAGAAGAAAUAUCCAGAAACUCAUCGUGGUUCUUGACUGUUUUUUAUAUAUUAUUAUUAUUGUUAUUGUUGUUAUUAUUAUUAUUAUUUACCCAUAUUGGAGGAUAGGAGAAGUCUAUAAGUGGGUUGCAAAAAAAAAAAAAGGAAUCUUCUUCACUCUAAAUCACUUUCUUUGCUGGACUGGGAUAUUAAAUAUACGACACAUCCAGGAGUUUAUUGGAGCGCAGACUGAUGGCGCAAAGGUACGAUGAGCUGCCCCACUACGGCGGGGUGGGCGGAGGAGGGGGGC